rnacentral:rRNA from 1 species
GAUGAACGCUGGCGGCGUGCCUAACACAUGCAAGUCGAACGGGGUUAUUUUGGAAAGUCCUUCGGACUGGAAUCUAUAACCUAGUGGCGGACGGGUGAGUAACGCGUGAGCAAUCUGCCUUUAGGGGGGGAGUAACAGUCGGAAACGGCUGCUAAUACCGCAUAAUGCAUCAAUUUCGCAUGUUAUUGAUGCCAAAGGAGCAAUCCGCCUUUAGAUGAGCUCGCGUCUGAUUAGCUAGUUGGUGAGGUAACCGGCCCACCAAGGCGACGAUUGGUAGCCGGACUGAGAGGUUGAACGGCCACAUUGGGACUGAGACACGGCCCAG